rnacentral:rRNA from 1 species
UCCGUAGGCGGGCAAUUAAGUCAGAGGUGAAAUCCCACAGCUCAACUGUGGAACUGCCUUUGAUACUGAUUGUCUUGAGUUAUAGUGAAGUAGAUAGAAUAUGUAGUGUAGCGGUGAAAUGCAUAGAUAUUACAUAGAAUACCGAUUGCGAAGGCAGUCUACUAACUGUAUACUGACGCUAAUGGACGAAAGCGUGGGGAGCAAACAGGAUUAGAUACCCUGGUAGUCC